GUGUUUACUCAGCAGAGGAGGUACCAUGGUCUCAAGGGUGGUUUUCCCAGGGUGGGGCUUACCCAUUGUCCUCUGGACGUGCUGACCCGGGUGAGUUCCCCACUGUGAGAAAGUAACUGCAUUGUUUAUGGAGUCUGUAUUCAUAUUUUCACCUA
ensembl:snRNA LOC120096795 U1 spliceosomal RNA